GCAAAUGUUUUCAUUAAAAUAUUAUCAUUUGAUAGUACUUUUAUCUGUUUAAUUUAUAUAAUUUUUCUUUUCAGAGACGGAUCGAACAUGUCGCGAGGGUGCUUUUUGAUGCUCAUCGUCCUUCUCUGCCUUAUAGGUGGCUCGAACCAGGGCCCGAUCAUUGGACGCAACACGUGUUUACGUGUGGUUUGUCCUUUACCUUGCCCAUUUGGCUUUGAGCGCCCCCAUUUCUGUUGUACCUGCGGACCAGAUCAGAUAGGCGGAUCAGAACCGCCAAUUGGAAUAUGAACAAAAGAGGAAAAUACAGGUUCAAUUGAUUUUGCGGCAAUAUGCAACUACGCUUUAUGUGAGGACUUUUCUGUAAAUGAUUUUAUUCUGCGUUCCAAAAUGCAUGUUCAAUAAAAUUCUUAAAUAAAGAUACAUGGACAAUACUAAAUUAAUACAAUUACUGGAAAGUGUAUCCUUGCCUUAUUUUGUCUUGAAAAGUAGGAUUAACAAUUAAUCAAUUAUAUAUUUAUUUCUUAAUGCAUCCGACUUUUUAUAGUGUUGAUAGCAAGUAUGAUAGUAAUAUUACAAACAUAUUUUAAAAGUUAUAUCAAAAAUAAAAUAAUGAGCUACUAAUAAAAAGCUUCAAAGUAAGUUA